UACGGAAGGUGCAAGCGUUAAUCGGAAUUACUGGGCGUAAAGCGCACGUAGGCGGACCAGCACGUUAGGGGUGAAAUCCCGGGGCUCAACCCCGGAACUGCCUUUAAAACUGUUGGUCUGGAGGUCGAGAGAGGUGAGUGGAAUUCCGAGUGUAGAGGUGAAAUUCGUAGAUAUUCGGAGGAACACCAGUGGCGAAGGCGGCUCACUGGCUCGAUACUGACGCUGAGGUGCGAAAGCGUGGGGAGCGAACAGG
rnacentral:rRNA from 1 species